rnacentral:lncRNA from 1 species
CGGUUCCUUAGCCUUUAUUAGAGCCUCAAAGAUUCAGAAUCCGGAAUGUGGUCUGUAAAAACAACAACCAACAGACAACGUGUUCCAGCUUUAGAUUCCUCCGAAAUGGAAGACUCGAUGACCGGUAAAGGCUCAUAAAUCGCCGUGAGGACGUUGACUUGAUCAGAAACGUAAGCCUCCGUUGGUUGGCUGUCCUCAGGACUGUCCCCAGGACCAAUCAGCCAGCAUGAGUCCGAUCAGAAAAGCAGGGCCCAGAGAAGGGAAGCGACUUGCCACAGUGAACCAGCUAAGAAGAGAAUCUGGUGCCCAGGGAGCCUCCCUGAGAUGCCAGUGUUAUUAAAGUCGUGAGGAGCGAAGGAAACGCCAGCAAAACUGUGAGCCCCCUCCCCCGGGACACCCAGGCCGAUUUCUUUUGCUCCCUCCCCUGCCCUCCC